rnacentral:rRNA from 1 species
AGGAAAGAAUUUUUUUUAUUUAAACAAUAAAGUUGACUUUUUAGUAAGAAGGCUAAAAUAAGACUUAAAGACAAGAAGACCCUAUAAAACUUUUAUAAUUUUUAUCUUUUUACAGGGGGGAAAUUAUUAGGCUGGGGCGGCAAGGAAAAAGACUUUCCUUAAUUUAGGAAAAAUUAAAAUUUUUAAUAUCCAAGCUUCUUGAAAAAGAAAUAAGUUACUUUAGGGAUAACAGCUUAAUUUACUUCGAAAGUUCUAAUUGACAAGUAAGUUUAUGACCUCGAUGUUGAAUUAAAAUACCUUUACUUGUGUAAAAGCUUUAAAAGGAGGUCUGUUCGACCUAUAAUUUUUUCCA